rnacentral:ncRNA from 2 species
UAUCCACGCUAGGGGAGCCCGAAAGGGCUGAGAGUUCCCGCAAGGGAAGACCCUAACGACCUGAUCUGGUUAAUACCAGCGUAGGGAAGCGGCAGAAUCCGGGU